AAACCGUUCAGGGGUAAACCUGAGAAACCCAAAAGAUCGAAUGGGGAGAUUCAUCGUCAACGGCCGCUGGCUCCCGUUGGUUCGCGAUGCCCCGCAACGGACCCUCGCGGUUCGUGUAGCGUGCGGGCACGCAACCUUCGGCGAUUGUUUCGGCGUCGUAGUCGUGCACUUCUCCCCUAGUAGAACGUCGCGACCCGUUGUGUGUCGGUCUACGGCCCGAGCGGUAGCCUGUCGCUUCGCCUCGUGCGUUCGCGACAGACCCUCGGUCGCCCGGCCGGCUGCACGACGGUACUCGCACGGUAUCGGGCCGCAACCAAUCCAUUCUCGAAUGUGUGUGCGUCAGGCCCGCCGCAAGCUCGGUCAGUUUACCCGGAGGCACGGACCUGGUGCCGUCCCCGGGCCUGGCCAGCUGUUGGCAGGCGGUGUCCUCGGACUGGCCAAGCUUCGAAUUACCGGUCGGCGACGCUAUUGCUUUGGGUACUCUCAGGACCCGUCUUGAAACACGGACCAAGGAGUCUAACAUGUGCGCGAGUCAUUGGGACAAUUAAACCUAAAGGCGCAAUGAAAGUGAAGGUCGUCCUUCGACCGGUUGACCGAGGGAGGAUGGGCCGCGUAACUAUGCGGCCUCGCACUCCCGGGGCGUCUCGUUCUCACUACGAGAAGAGGCGCACCCAGAGCGUACACGUU
rnacentral:rRNA from 2 species